UGAGUACGAGCUGCUACGGCAGCGAAGUGGGUGAUGUCAAGCUUCCAAGAAAAGCCCUAUACCCGUUAAGGCAUGACGGCCUGUACCCGAAACCGACACAGGUGGGGUGGUAGAGAAUACCGAGGGGCGCGAGGUAACUCUCUCUAAGGAACUCAGCAAAAUGGCCCCGUAACUUCGGGAGAAGGGGUGCCACCGCAAGGUGGUCGCAGUGAAGAGGCCCAGGCGACUGUUUACCAAAAACACAGGUCUCCGCUAAGUCGCAAGACGAUGUAUGGGGGCUGACGCCUGCCCAGUGCCGGAAGGUUAAGGAAGCUGGUCAGCGAAAGCGAAGCUAGCGACUGAAGCCCCGGUGAACGGCGGCCGUAACUAUAACGGUCCUAAGGUAGCGAAAUUCCUUGUCGGGUAAGUUCCGACCCGCACGAAAGGCGUAACGAUCUGGGCGCUGUCUCGGAGAGAGGCUCGGCGAAAUAGAAUUGUCUGUGAAGAUGCGGACUACGUGCACCCGGACAGAAAGACCCUAUGAAGCUUUACUGUAGCUUGGUAUUGUGCCCGGGCUCUGAAUGCGCAGGAUAGGUGGGAGACAUUGAUGCAUGGCUUGCGGGUCAUGCGGAGUCAACGGUGAGAUACCACUCUUUCAGAGCUAGGGUUCUAUCAGCCACCCGUUAUCCGGGGGCUGGACAGUAUCAGGUGGGCAGUUUGACUGGGGCGGUCGCCUCCUAAAAGGUAACGGAGGCGCGCAAAGGUUUGCUCAGGCUGGUUGGAAAUCAGCCGACGAGUGUAAAAGCAGAAGCAAGCUUGACUGUGAGACCUACAAGUCGAACAGGGACGAAAGUCGGCUUUAGUGAUCCGACGGUUCUGAGUGGAAGGGCCGUCGCUCAACGGAUAAAAGUUACUCUAGGAUAACAGGCUGAUCUCCCCCAAGAGUUCACAUCGACGGGGAGGUUUGGCACCUCGAUGUCGGCUCAUCGCAACCUGGGGCUGAAGUCGGUCCCAAGGGUUGGGCUGUUCGCCCAUUAAAGCGGUACGCGAGCUGGGUUCAGAACGUCGUGAGACAGUUCGGUCCAUAUCCGGUGCAUGCGUAAGAACAUUGAGAGGAGUUCUCCCUAGUACGAGAGGACCGGGAGGAACGCACCUCUGGUGUACCAGUUAUCGUGCCAACGGUAAACGCUGGGUAGCCAUGUGCGGAGAGGAUAACCGCUGAAAGCAUCUAAGUGGGAAGCCCACCUCAAGAUGAGUGUUCUCAUGGCUUAAGCCAGUAAGGUCACGGGAAGAACACCCGUUGAUAGGCUCUACGUGGAAGCUUGGUAACAGGUGAAGCGGAGGAGUACUAAUAGACCGAGGGCUUGACC
rnacentral:rRNA from 1 species